rnacentral:rRNA from 1 species
UACGUAGGGGGCAAGCGUUGUCCGGAAUUAUUGGGCGUAAAGAGCGCGUAGGCGGUCCGAUAAGUCGGCUGUGAAAGUCAGGGGCUCAACCCUUGAAAGCCGGCCGAUACUGUCGGACUAGAGUCCGGAAGAGGCAAGUGGAAUUCCCGGUGUAGCGGUGAGAUGCGCAGAUAUCAGGAGGAACACCCGUGGCGAAAGCGGCUCUCUGGGACGGUACUGACGCUGAGACGCGAAAAGCGUGGGGAGCAAACAGG